rnacentral:ncRNA from 1 species
UAACGGGUUUAAGUCCCGUCCGGGGAAUUGUCCGAUUCGCCCCGGUAGUUCAAGGGAGCGGCGUCUUGGCAACAAGGGGUCGUAAGUUCCCAAUUGGCAAAGCAGCAGGCCGUAACGAAA